UACGUAGGGUCCAAGCGUUAAUCGGAAUUACUGGGCGUAAAGCGUGCGUAGGCGGUUUCGCAAGUCCGAUGUGAAAUCCCCGGGCUUAACCUGGGAACUGCGUUGGAAACUACGAAGCUAGAGUGCGGCAGAGGGGGGCGGAAUUCCAGGUGUAGCGGUGAAAUGCGUAGAUAUCUGGAGGAACACCGGUGGCGAAGGCGGCAUCCUGGACCGGCAUUGACGCUGAGGCGCGAAAGCCAGGGGAGCAAACGGG
rnacentral:rRNA from 1 species